UACGUAGGUGGCAAGCGUUAUCCGGAAUUAUUGGGCGUAAAGAGCGCGCAGGUGGUUAAUUAAGUCUGAUGUGAAAGCCCACGGCUUAACCGUGGAGGGUCAUUGGAAACUGGUUGACUUGAGUGCAGAAGAGGGAAGUGGAAUUCCACGUGUAGCGGUGAAAUGCGUAGAGAUAUGGAGGAACACCAGUGGCGAAGGCGGCUUCCUGGUCUGUAACUGACACUGAGGCGCGAAAGCGUGGGGAGCAAACAGG
rnacentral:rRNA from 1 species